rnacentral:rRNA from 1 species
AAAUUGAAGAGUUUGAUCAUGGCUCAGAUUGAACGCUGGCGGCAGGCCUAACACAUGCAAGUCGAGCGGCAGCGGGAAAGUAGCUUGCUACUUUUGCCGGCGAGCGGCGGACGGGUGAGUAAUGCCUGGGGAUCUGCCCAGUCGAGGGGGAUAACAGUUGGAAACGACUGCUAAUACCGCAUACGCCCUACGGGGGAAAGAAGGGGACCUUCGGGCCUUUCGCGAUUGGAUGAACCCAGGUGGGAUUAGCUAGUUGGUGGGGUAAUGGCUCACCAAGGCGACGAUCCCUAGCUGGUCUGAGAGGAUGAUCAGCCACACUGGAACUGAGACACGGUCCAGACUCCUACGGGAGGCAGCAGUGGGGAAUAUUGCACAAUGGGGGAAACCCUGAUGC